rnacentral:lncRNA from 1 species
AAUUAUGAUCAAAAUACUUUUUGUGUUGUUCUACAUAUAUGUUUUGGACUUAAGUUUUGUGUGGGUUUCUUUAUUGUAUUAUUUACAUAUAAAUUCACCAUGUGAUAUAAGAAUGGUAUGCUGUGCAAGUUCGUGUGAUGAUUAUGCUUGGAAGACUUCUUUUAUUGCUCAUUGGUAUAAAUAAGGGAAAUAUAAAUAAAAGUGUAGGGAGGAAUAGUUAUGUGACAGGUUAGGUUGGUCUUGUUAA